rnacentral:rRNA from 1 species
UACAGAGGGUGCAAGCGUUGUUCGGAAUUAUUGGGCGUAAAGGGCGCGUAGGCGGUGCGGUAAGUCACUUGUGAAAUCUCUGAGCUUAACUCAGAACGGCCAAGUGAUACUGCAGUGCUAGAGUGUGGAAGGGGCAAUCGGAAUUCUUGGUGUAGCGGUGAAAUGCGUAGAUAUCAAGAGGAACACCUGAGGUGAAGACGGGUUGCUGGGCCAACACUGACGCUGAGGCGCGAAAGCCAGGGGAGCAAACGGG